CCCACAUCCAACCUUUGAGGAGGACGCUGUCUGCUCACAUUUAUUCCCUUGGAUUUCUCUAAGGCCUUAACCUAAAAUUUAUCCUGACCGUAGAAGAGUGACGGGGGGAAAUGAAGUGAGAAUGGGCACACACAGCAAGAGAGCGUGUGUGAGGGGGAGAACUGCUAAAAGGAAUGGAUCAUACGCUCUGCUGACCUAUCAGUAACUGGAAAAGGAGACCUGAACUGGGGAGAAGAGCUGAGAGAAGGCCUACAUGGACAAACGUGGUUUGUGGGAAGGCCGUAAGGAGUGAGGAAGAAGAAAAAGAGAGUAAGAGCUGAACAACAACCACACCGGGAAAUCAAAGUUGUGCCUUUCAAAUUGUGUCACACACUCAAACCAACACCUCUGUUGGAUUGUAUUUACUUUCACUGUUAAUAUGUAAAUCACAAGAGAGGUAUGCAGUUCAACUGGAGUGGGAAUAAACAGAGAGAAAUUAAUUGAAGAAUGAAUUGUGUAGCUAUAAGAAUAACAACUAACACACGCUCAGUGGGGCUCAGCUCUUUGCUACACAUUAAAGGAACAGUUUGACAUUUUGGGAAAACCUGCUAAUUGGCGGGAGUUUGAUGGCAAGAUCAAUACCACUUUGAAGUCUGUAUGCUAAAUAUAAAGCUACAGCUAGUUAGCUUAGCUUAGCACAACGACUGGAAAAUAGCUAGCCUGGCUCAGUCCAAAGACAACAAGAUCCACCUACCAGCACCUCUAAAGCUCAUUAUUUAACAGCCUUUUCUGGUUUAAAUCUGUACAACAACCGAAAUAUAAAAACAACACGUGGUGUUAAAGGGUAACGCAGCCAGUGAUACUCCUUUUUAUUGUAAAAGCCGCACUGACAAAACAGAUAUUGCAACCCAAACAUCUAAGCAAAAAGCAACCUUUUCUUUGACGGCAGAAUGUGAACCAGACGAGUGAAACCUCCAAAGGAUUGCUAGUCUAGUGCUUUAGCCACUUGGCCACAUCUAUAAUCAAGAUUUAUAUUCUCCGUCAAACUCUCUGACUCAAUAUGGACUCAGAUCAAUAACCCUUUCUGUGAGUGAGCGCCUGAGGCUCUCAAAACUCAUUACACUGAAUAGAUCUGCAUUUUAUCAGGAAGCCUCACAUAGAUAACAUUUGGAUGGGGAUUCCCAUCUGAUGGCUUUUUAUGUUUGAGCUGACUAGCAUCUGACACAAUAAAACCUUUGUCGUUUUCCCAAAAACCCUUGAGGGCACCUUCUGGUCUUCCAACCUCUAUUCUGUGUGUCUAUCCUACAGCCCUAUGAUCAACACCAUAAAGAAAAACUAUUUACUUUCACAGUUGCUAAAAGUAUAUUGUCUGUACUCACUGAUCACUUGGUUAAAGUCCCAACAACAUAACUAUAAUAGUAUGGUACAGAAAAGGCUAAAGCUCCUGCUGUGCUACUGCAAUAGCUGAAUGUGUCAACAGCUUUAUCAGAUGUCAACUUUAAAUAUCUGAAAUAUCCCAUACUGAUGGAAAUAAAUCUCGACGGCACUCGGUGCAGCUUCUAUUAGUGGAGCUGGAUAUCAGUGGUUGAUGGCAAAAUGUGUCUCUUGUCUGGUACUCAAAUAGCUACGACGUGUCUCCGCCUAAUAAAAGAAGGAGUUUCAUUCCAAAUGAGCUUUAAUUUCUUCAUUUCAAAACGCGCAGCUAACUCCAAUGAUUUGCUGGUUACAACUGUGAAUAACAGAAGACUCACAAUCCUUAAUGCUGACAUUAUGAAAUAUGAAAAACUAUUUGUUUAGCCAUUUGUUUUUAAAGCUUGGAAUCACAUAGCUUUGAUGGCAGCUGUCAUUCCUGCUUGAGAAUAUUUACGUUAAAGAGUAAUAUGAAUUGAAGAAUCCUUACAUGCUUUCUCUACUAGUAUGAGAUGAUGAAAAAAUAGUUUAAAGCUUUAAAAACAAAUGAAUGUCGUCUGAAAAAUCACUUUGA